rnacentral:lncRNA from 1 species
GUGACUUCUUUGGAAUAUUUCUGCGUGUUGCUUGCUUCUUAUGGGCUUGUUGCCUCGAAGAUCGCCAUGAUCGCCUCCGACUCAGCGACAUCGAAGGUUCAAAAUGAGCUGGGAGACGCCCCAGCUGGAACGCUAAAGGUUCACAUAGGUUGGAGGAGUGCACAUUGAGAAGGUUAUCCUGGCACAGCUUACCAUGGCCUGCCAUGGUGGACCAGGAAAGUUUGCGAGGGCCUUGCUUCACCAUAUGUUCACAGAGGAGGAGCUCAAGGGCCA